rnacentral:lncRNA from 1 species
CCUCCGGGUUCGGAGCAAAAUCUACUUUCUUCGGAGCUUCUUGUUUUGGCUUCUCCGCCUCUUUAGGUUUCCCCUCCGGUGGCUUCCCUGCAUCCUUCGGUUUAGCCUCCGGUGGCUUCCCAGCAUCCUUCGGUUUCGCCUCCGGUGGCUUCCCUGCGUCCUUAGGUUUGGCCUCCGGUGGCUUUCCUGCAUCCUUUGGCUUGUCAGCGGCUUUGGGUUUCUCCUGUUGAUCCUUUGGCUUGUCAGCAGCUUUGGGUUUCUCGGCUUCCUUGGGUUUUCCGGCAGGCUUGUCGGCAGCUGGUUUGGCAUCUUUUGGUUUGUCAGCCGGUGGCUUCGCCUUCUCAGCCUCUUUUG